AUAUGACCAAACUUAAUCCAUUUUUCAUGUCAGUAGGAAAUAAGGAAACACAAGGAAACAAAGCAAAAGUGAUGAAGCAAAAUCCCUAGAGCAGAUCGGGUUAGAGACAAAGAGGUGAAAGUCCAAUCCAACCAUUCUGAAAUUGAUGAAGCAAAUUUGAUUUGGGCGAGACAAAGAGGGAGGAGCCAAAUAAUGAAGCAAGGGUUUAUCAUUCUUCAUCUUUUAUACCAUCCUUAUCUACCAUCCACAACACAAAUUUGUUAUGAUUUCAUCUUCUACGAUCAGGGUUCAUUAGGUGACAUGUUAGGGCCAGCGCAUGGGGUAGGCAAGAAGCACUUUGUAGACGUAAUUCAACUCUGACAAUUUAAUUAAAUAGAAGCUCCAAUGAUUAUUUUGGAAACAAUGCAAUUCAAAAAUAGCAUUUGGAGAGUCUUAGACGCGGAGCUGUGGAAUAGACACACAUAGCACUUUUAUAGUAUUUAUAGUUUUAUUCUUCAUAUGUAAAUAUCAGCCUUUUUGGUCUAUAAAUUUUGUUUUAAAAAUAAAAUCUCCAAUGAUUAUUUUGGUACUCACACUUAAAUAUUUUUCUGCUCGCGUUUAGUAAUUUGUUUAAGAAUUGGCUGAAAGUAACUUCAGUUAUUAGCGAUCACGAUGCGUAAUCCUUGAGUACAGGGAACGGGUCGUGACAUAUAUAGUUUGCUUGCUUUUUCUGUUGAUUUCUGAUUACAUGGAUUGUCUUGGUGUUGCUUAUCUAUGGACAACUAUUGGUCAUGGUUACUGGAUUCGGGUUUGGUGGAGUGGUGGUGGUUGCAAGUUGUGCCCUUCCAAGAGGUUUAUUUCAACUGAUUCACAUGGGUUUGAACAUGUUGCUUGGUAGUGGUUGCAACCUGCGCCUUAUUAAGUAAUUUGUAUAGGUUUUCCUAGUGGUCAUCAUUUCUUUCCGUUUUAUGGUGUCACUGUCACUCUAGUUUUUUGUUCUAUUCCCUACAUCUACGGGUUUACGGGCUAUGUAAGAGGUUCUAUUUUCAUUUUGCUUGGGUUGGUAGGGUGAAUAGGGCUGUUGGUGUAGUGUUUUUAUGUUAUAUUUUGAUGUAUUUGAUGCCCAAUUGCUGCUACGAUUUUUGUGGUGUUGGCAGUUGGUUGUUGAAUCUUGUUCAGGCCCUAUAUCCACUGUGGACAUGGUGUUUGAACAGUUGUUUGGGUACAGGUGUUGUUACGUGGCUACCCUGUUUUGAUAUGGCUGGUGUUUCUUCUUAUUGUUGGCUACAUAGUGUUGACUACAUAG